rnacentral:rRNA from 1 species
ACKGCUCAGUAACACGUGGACAACCUACCCUUAGGUCAGGGAUAACCCCGGGAAACUGGGAAUAAUACCUGAUAUGGCGCGAAGGCUGGAAUGCAUCGCGCAAGAAAGCUCCGGUGCCUAAGGAUGGGUCUGCGGCCUAUCAGGGUAGUAGUGGGUGUAACGUACCUACUAGCCUACGACGGGUACGGGUUGCGAGAGCAAGAGCCCGGAGAUGGAUUCUGAGACACGAAUCCAGGCCCUACGGGGUGCAGCAGUCGCGCAAACUUUGCAAUACACGAAAGUGUGACAGGGCUAUCCCGAGUGCCGUCCGCUGAGGGUGGCUUUUACCCAGUCUAGAAAGCUGGGAGAAUAAGGAGAGGGCAAGUCUGGUGUCAGCCGCCGCGGUAAUACCAGCUCUCCGAGUGGUGUGGAUGUUUAUUGGGCCUAAAGCAUCCGUAGCUGGCUGAUCAAGUCCCCUGUUAAACCCAACGAAUUAAUCGUUGGAUUGCGGGGGAUACUGCUCGGCUAGGGGACGAGAGAGGCCGACGGUAUUUUCGGGGUAGGGGUGAAAUCCUAUAAUCCCGGGAAGACCACCAGUGGCGAAGGCUGUCGGCUAGAACGCGCCCAACGGUGAGGGAUGAAAGCUGGGGGAGCGAACCGGAUUAGAUACCCGGGUAGUCCCAGCUGUAAACGAUGCAGGCUAGGUGUUUGGGCGGCCACGCGCCGCUCUAGUGCCGCAGGGAAGCUGUUAAGCCUGCCGCCUGGGGAGUACGGCCGCAAGGCUGAAACUUAAAGGAAUUGGCGGGGGAGCAC